ensembl:lincRNA
GUAUUUUAAUAGCUGACUUUCAUGUGUAUUUCCUUCUAUAGAUUAUGCACACCUGUAUGCAGGUUCAAUGUGCUCAUCUUUGUAUGCUAAGCUUUGGACACACUGAAAGAUGAUAUUUUUGUUUGUUAAAUAGUUAAAUGAUGAGUGUGUGUUUCAAGACUUGUUUGCUAAUACACGUUAGUAAUUUUGAGCAACCAAGAAACAGCUUUGAAGUAUACCGAAAGAUGUGCUCUCUUUAUUUCCUGUCCCGUUUCCAUUCUCCUAGGUCACCGUGUAUCACAUGCAUAACUUUAUCUUCAGAAAAUAUAAGAACAUUCUGGAAUACAUUUCUAUAUACAGUUGGGUUCCUUCAACUGCCAUCUGCAUGUUAAUUAUUUCCUUAGGAAAGCCAAAGCAUAGCCACCUGCUUUAUGGACACUAUUUUGAAAAUACGCCAUUCGUCACCAAAGAAGGACUACCGACGCGAGAUGCCUCCGUGUCGGAAUGGCAAAGGGAUGAGGAUGUCAAAGACAGGAUCCCACUGCCUUCUCUCUUUGCUCUUGUGUUCACUCGCUGGUAGCUUAACCUCCUCCUUUCACUAUGGACUGGAAACUUAAAAUAAGUUCAUAUGUGGCAGCGCGCUGUAGUUCUGAUUCAACCCGAGGAGCUUCAACACAAGCAAAACAACAACAGCAAAACCAGAAAAGACUCAGGUCCACCCUAAAUCAACAGAGACACAAUCUCAGAAUGACGUACAGGCAUUGGCAUUAAGAAAGCUUCGCAGGUAACACCAGUGUGCGAUGAGGGUUGCACACUCCUGAGUUAGAAACUGAGAAGGCGCGAAGGAGUUUCUUCCUGCUAAGAUUUAUGUGGAAGACUCUUUUUCUGUAUGUGGCUUUGGGGAGUGCUAGGAAAUGCUAUUCUGGCUCCAGAAGAGAAGACUUCUAGUAUUAGAAGAUUCAUAACAUGCACAGAGGAGCAAAAAAUAUUUGCCUCUGAUUGAAUGAUAUGCUGCCAAGAGGAGUCCCAGGUCAGGGUCCUGUUUGACUGCUGCCUUCUUCACUGAGGGAAUGCAAGAAUCAGGAGGAAAGCUGUACACCCUAAGCCCAUUAGCAUGCCCGGGCAGGUCUGCUGGUCAUCAAGGCCACCAUCUGACGCCCAAUGCCAGCAUUCCCUCCAUAUCAUAGCCUCCGCCCACCCCACCUUGCUUCUCCUUGGUUUUUGGAGAGGGGAACUUUUAGUGUACAGUCACAAAUGGGGUCUUUUAUUCCCCUUGGCUACUAUCCCACCAUCUUGAUUUCAGUGAACAGUUUAGAGACAGAUCACUGGUUCAAUGUGAGACAGAGAAGGGAGCAGCUUUCAAGUAGAUGUUGUGCCACAAGUGAAAUAUUUUAAGGUUGUCAAGGUGGCUACAGUAAUUACUCUACACACUAGGUGGCCAGUGCUCCAGAAAUAUUUACUGAGUAAGUAAAUGGAUGGGAGGCAGGCAUCCAAGAGAGGGGACAGAUCUCACUGGUUUCCAGUUUAACGCUCCCAUAAAAUAUAUCUGUGACAGGACUCUAUGUGAAGCUUAGGGCCAGCUUAUGUGAUAUUACCCGUUUGGGUGAAGACUCAUGAAAUCCUUCAAAACAGAGAAUCUCCCAAGACAUUCUUGUGAAAGGUGAAAAUGUCAGCCUACUACGGUGAUGGAAGAUUUGAAACUGAGAAGCUGGUAAGUAGCAGCUGCUAUUUUGUGUUACACUAGAAAUGUGCUCACGUGGAAAAGCGCUAUGUGAGGGACAAAGUGAGGGAGCCCAGGGAGGCAGCCAGUCACCACUGCGCAUGGGAAAAUUGGCUUGGGAUUUGGGGUUGUGGCUCAGUAUAUUAUUUCUUCUAUGUUACGCUCCUUUGGAGGCUUCCCAAAAUCUAUUUUACCUGGAGCAUUUUUGUUUGUUUGUUUUUAAAGAUUUUAUUUAUUUAUUUGACAGGCAGGCAGAGAGAGGGGCGGGGGAGAAGCAGGCUCCCUGCUGAGCAGAGAGCCCGAUGCGGGACUCGAUCCCAGGACCCUGAGAUCAUGACCUGAGCCGAAGGCAGCGGCUUAACCCACUGAGCCACCCAGGCGCCCCAUGGAACAUUUUUUUUUUUUUUUGAAACAGCAAUUCCUGUAUGGAAUCAGAGUAUGAAUUUCCUGGUUGCUUGGAAUUCCCUAGGUUUUCUGUGACCCCACUUCUGGGUGGUCAGGAAAGCCACAUAUCACUUCCUCACAUCUGAACCCCUAGACCGCGGCUGCAGUGGCAAACACAAACACUACACCCACUACACGUAUAUUUGAUUCAUUGUAAAACAAGCCUCGAGAAGACGCCAUAAAGCUUUCUCUACUAUCAGGUUUUAAGUAGUAAAAACUACUUCAUGCUUUGGAAACCAAGAGAGGAUUAUAACCCUAUGGGGGAUCUCCUGGGGCCAACCUUCUUCUCCAAAGGCGGGGCAGUGUAUCAAGAGCUUGGACACAGUAGUCAUGUCGCUGGGAUUUGUCCAAGCCCCACUACAUCUUAGGUAUGUGACCUUGAGGACAUCAAUUACCCUUUUUGUGCUUCAGGAUUUUUCUCUCUCAAGUUGGGAUAAAAGUAAUACCUGCC